GACGAACGCUGGCGGCGUGCUUAACACAUGCAAGUCGAGCGGUAAGGCCCUUUCGGGGGUACACGAGCGGCGAACGGGUGAGUAACACGUGGGUGACCUGCCCUCAGCUCUGGGAUAAGCCUGGGAAACCGGGUCUAAUACUGGAUAUGACUCCAUGACGCAUGUUGGUGGGGUGGAAAGCCUUGUGCGGCUGAGGAUGGGCCCGCGGCCUAAUCAGCUUGGUUGGUGGGGUGACNGGCCUACCAAAGGCGACGACGGGUAGCCGGCCUGAGAGGGCGACCGGCCACACUGGGACUGAGACACGGGCCCAG
rnacentral:rRNA from 1 species